UGAUUAGAGCGGCGGACGGGUGAGUAACGCGUAGGAAUCUACCUAGUAGAAGGGGAUAGCCCGAGGAAACUCGGAUUAAUACCGUAUACCUCCUUCGGGAGAAAGAAGGCCUCUCUUUGAAGCUUUCGCUACUAGAUGAGCCUGCGUAAGAUUAGCUUGUUGGUGAGGUAAAGGCUCACCAAGGCGACGAUCUUUAGCGGGUCUGAGAGGACGAUCCGCCACAUUGGGACUGAGACACGGCCCAGACUCC
rnacentral:rRNA from 1 species